AAGACUAUGCUUUCAGGGAUCAUUUCUGUAUUUGUAUUUGUAUUUGUUAUUAGAGAAGUUUCUUUGAACAUGUAGUGUAUCUGAAAAAAUGAGAAUUAGGUGCAGCGGCGUCUCCUGAGUGUGAUGCCGGCUUCUGGGAGUUGCUUCUGUAGCUGCCUUUGGCACUGAUGCUCGUUCUUCUCUUCCUUUGGGAGGGUGAGAGGGAGGGGAUGCUGUCAGAGU